CACCCGCAGCACAAGUGGUGGUCACUUUUAUUGAGCCUAAAGCGUUCGUAGCCGGUUUUGUAAAUCUCCAGAUAAAGACUGAAGCUUAACUCCAGAAAGUCUGAAGAGACUGCAAGACUUGAGAUCGGGUGAGGUUAAAUGUACUCUCAGGGUAGGGGUAAAAUCCUGUAAUCCUGGAAGGACGACCAGUGGUGAAAACGUUUAACUAGAACGAAUCUGACGGUAAGGAACGAAGGCUAGGGUAGCAAACCGG
rnacentral:rRNA from 1 species